UCUCCCGUGAGGGAGCAGUCUCGCCUGGCCAUAUAGGCAACAGGCAACGGGGGUUGCGUUCGUUACCCCACUGAAGGGAACAGUUCAAACCACGAACUGACGACGACCAUGCAUCACCUGUGCAGCACCCUCGAAGGCUCUCCGACUUUCAUCAGAGAUGCAGCUGCAUUUCUAACCUUGGUAAGGUUCUUCGUUUGCUUACGAAUUGAGCCACAUAAUCCACUGCUUGUGCGAGUCCCCGUCUAUUCCUUUGAGUUUUAAUCUUGCGAUCGUACUACCCAGGCGGCUCGCUUACCGCGUUAGCUUAGUCUCACAGAGGGUCGAUACUCCGUAAAACGAGCGAGCAACGUUGAGGGCCAGGACUAC
rnacentral:misc_RNA from 1 species